rnacentral:tRNA from 1 species
GGAGAGAUGGCCGAGUGGCUGAAGGCGCACGCCUGGAAAGUGUGUAUACGGUAACGUAUCGGGGGUUCGAAUCCCCCUCUCUCCG